rnacentral:rRNA from 1 species
UCCCUCGGGAUGUAAACUUCGCAAGAAUGGGAAGAAUUAGCGAACGCCAAUACCGUUCGUGAUGACGGUACCAUUUGUAAGCUCCGGCUAACUCCGUGCCAGCAGCCGCGGUAAUACGGGGGGAGCAAGCGUUGUUCGGAUUUACUGGGCGUAAAGGGCGCGUAGGCGGCCAGCGCAAGUCGGUUGUGAAAUCUCCGGGCUUAACUCGGAAAGGUCAACUGAUACUGCGCGGCUAGAGUGCGGAAGGGGCAACUGGAAUUCUCGGUGUAGCGGUGAAAUGCGUAGAUAUCGAGAGGAACACCUGCGGCGAAGGCGGGUUGCUGGGCCGACACUGACGCUGAGGCGCGAAAGCCAGGGGAGCGAACGGGAUUAGAUACCCCGGUAGUCCUGGCCUUAAACGAUGGAUGCUUGGUGUCUGGGGUUUAUAGUCCCCGGGUGCCGUAGCUAACGCGUUAAGCAUCCCGCCUGGGGAGUACGGUCGCAAGACUGAAACUCAAA